GUUGUGGAUGAACGGAUGAAGCUUGUAGUCCAGGCAGCAUCGUUGAUAGAUGUGGUUCGAGCCUGGAUCUUGUUGGUCCAUAAGAGAGUUGGUCGUCAGAAUGACAAACUUGUCAUCUAGUAUGGUCCAUUAAUCCGAGAUCGGGAGAGGAUAGUGAAUAUGAACUACAUCUACAACCGUAACGACAUAGGCCCGUGGAUGCUUCGAAUGAAAAGAGCAUAUUUCGCCAGGCUUGUGCAAACGUUCAGGAGCAGGGGGUUGCUACAAGAUAGCAUCCACACCACUAUGGAAGAGCAAGUUGCCAUGUUCCUGCAUGUUGUAGGUCAUAGCCAGAGGUUCAGGGUUAUGCACAACACAUUCAGGAGAUCAAUGGAGACCAUUUCCAGGUACUUUAGGCAAGUGUUGUAUGUUGUUGGGGAACUCGGAGGAGAGAUGAUCAGGUCACAAACCGGUCGGACUCCUAACAAGAUUCGCACUAGCCCAAGAUGGUAUCUAUACUUCAAGGUGAGCACAAUACGUAGUUGA
rnacentral:rRNA from 1 species